rnacentral:rRNA from 1 species
CUACGUGCCAGCAGCCGCGGUAAUACGUAGGUGGCGAGCGUUGUCCGGAAUGACUGGGCGUAAAGGGAGCGUAGGUUGCGAUUUAAGUUAGGUGUGAAAGCCCGUAGCUCAACUACGGAACUGCAUUUAAAACUGGAUUGCUAGAGUACAGGAGGGGUGAGCGGAAUUCCUAGUGUAGCGGUGGAAUGCGUAGAUAUUAGGAAGAACACCGGAGGCGAAGGCGGCUCACUGGACUGCAACUGACACUGAGGCUCGAAAGCGUGGGGAGCA